GUGACAGAAGUCAACCAAGUGCCCUGGCAACAAGGCUGGCCAGUGAAUGUUUACAGGACCUCUGGCAGUCUGGGAAAAUCAAAAUGAUCCAAGAGGAAUAAAGGCCUUGAACUUUCUGUGAAUUUCGGUUUCUUUCCUCCCUCUCUUGGUAUCUCCAUAAUUCAUCUCUCUUAACCUUUCUUUUUUUCUAUUGUCAGAGUGAUUAAAAUUCUCAACUCGGUGCUCUGAAUCAAUAGAAAUUUUAAUUCUUUUGAAAGCCUGAUAGCAAAGUUUGCUUUCAUUGUCUCUCUGCCUCAUCACUGGGAUAGGAGGAGGAGGAAUUUGCUCUUACCCAAUAAAGUAUAUGGGUCCCAUCUGAUAGUGGCUUAAACCCCGGACUUUGCUGAAAGCUUCAGUUCCCCUCCUGCCCAGGCUGGUUCUUUGUGCAGGAGCAGCUGCUACUGCUUCUGGAGAUAGCUUGUUGCAGAGCUUGGCGUGCUCUGCUCUCCUCAUCCUUCUGUUGAUCUCCCCUUUGGCACCUUUGGCUGCACCACCUGCAGAAGCAGCUGGAGGAUGGGGGGCAUUGUCCUGUGCAGCAAACAUUCAUUGAGCACCUACUGUGUGCCUACUGAGUGCCUACCUCCUUAAAGAGCAAAGACAGCCAGGAUCCCUGUACUUGUGACCUUUGCAGAGGACGGAAAUGACAAGCUUCAUCACACAAAUGAGUAUGCACUGCAGUGAGAGCCAAGGAUGGGUAAUGAUGGGCCCAUGGGAGUGCAUAGCAGAGGAUGUGUUCUCAUUUCAG
rnacentral:lncRNA from 1 species